GCGGCGAACGGGUGAGUAACACGUGGGUGAUCUGCCCUGCACUUCGGGAUAAGCCUGGGAAACUGGGUCUAAUACCGGAUAUGACCUCCUAUCGCAUGGUGGGUGGUGGAAAGAUUUAUCGGUGCAGGAUGGGCCCGCGGCCUAUCAGCUUGUUGGUGGGGUAAUGGCCUACCAAGGCGACGACGGGUAGCCGACCUGAGAGGGUGACCGGCCACACUGGGACUGAGACACGGCCCAGACUCCUACGGGAGGCAGCAGUGGGGAAUAUUGCACAAUGGGCGAAAGCCUGAUGCAGCGACGCCGCGUGAGGGAUGACGGCCUUCGGGUUGUAAACCUCUUUCAGCAGGGACGAAGCGCAAGUGACGGUACCUGCAGAAGAAGCACCGGCUAACUACGUGCCAGCAGCCGCGGUAAUACGUAGGGUGCAAGCGUUGUCCGGAAUUACUGGGCGUAAAGAGUUCGUAGGCGGUUUGUCGCGUCGUUUGUGAAAACCAGCAGCUCAACUGCUGGCUUGCAGGCGAUACGGGCAGACUUGAGUACUGCAGGGGAGACUGGAAUUCCUGGUGUAGCGGUGAAAU
rnacentral:rRNA from 1 species